CUAACUUGAAAAACUUCAUCAAGAAAAUUGUCAAAACAGAUUUAAUAAUUAACAUAAUUAAGUAGUUAUUAUAACAGAAAAAAUUUGUAACAAAAUUCUGUUAAAAUAGAUUUUUAACAGAUUAUAACCAACCAUUGAUUUGUAUCCCAAAAUCUAGUCAAAAUCAGAUCAGAAAAAUUCAGACAAAUAGAUUCAAAUCAGAUUUAAUUUAUACAAAAAAAAAUCUGAUCACAUAUCGGAUGUGAUCAUACCAAA
rnacentral:lncRNA from 1 species